AAACUUAAAGGAAUUGACGGGGCCCGCACAAGCGGUGGAGCAUGUGGUUUAAUUCGACGCAACGCGAAGAACCUUACCAGGGCUUGACAUCCCCUGACCGCGUAUGAAAGUACGUUUUCACCCUCGGGUGACAGGGAGACAGGUGGUGCAUGGUUGUCGUCAGCUCGUGUCGUGAGAUGUUGGGUUAAGUCCCGCAACGAGCGCAACCCUACGUUUAGUUGCUAACGCGUGAAGGCGAGCACUCUAGACGAACUGCCGUUGACAAAACGGAGGAAGGUGGGAUGACGUCAAAUCAUCAUGCCCCUUAUGUUCUGGGCUACACACGUGCUACAAUGGCCGGUACAGACGGACGCAAAGCCGCGAGGUGGAGCAAAUCCUAAAAAGCCGGUCUCAGUUCGGAUUGCAGGCUGCAAUUCGCCUGCAUGAAGUCGGAAUCGCUAGUAAUCGUAGAUCAGCAUGCUACGGUGAAUACGUUCCCGGGCCUU
rnacentral:rRNA from 1 species